rnacentral:lncRNA from 1 species
GCCAUGUGACUCUCCCGGUUGCACUGUAAGUCCCAGCUUUUGCCGACAGAUAAGUCCUUACGGAGGGUCUGGGACAACAUGACCAACAGUCAUUUGUACAAUAGCCCUAUGUUCCAUUUAUCAUAAUCAUGUUUAAUCAAUUAACCAUGGUUCCAUCACUGAUUUCAGAUCAUAUAUAAUUGGAGUUAGAGCACUAGCACUUCUACCCAUAUGCAAUAAAAACCCUUGAGAACAAGGUAAUUGUCAUCAACAGCUAGGAUGUUCUUAUAGUUUGCAAUAUUGUACACAUGCAGGGUGAAAUGCUUAAAAAUGAGUAGGACAACAAGGUAGGCACAUGCUAUACUUGCCUUGGUUCACGUACUCCUGCUGGUCUUGCUGGUCCCCAAAGAGCUCCGGACUCCCGAAAUACUCCUCAUCGUAUGAGCUCGACCAACACAUCACAAUCAUCACGCAUACCAAGACAAACGUGCAAGAGAACAAUUCCUAAAGUUAGAACAGUACACCAGCAGUAAAUAAAUUAAAUAAAAGUUUUCCAAAAUCAUCUACGUGCUGCUACGAUCACGUCAACGCGAAAUUCACGAAAAACGGACUUACGACGCGAAAGUUACGCUCUUAACGGGAUUUCGACAGCAAUCUACGGACUUGUAAUUAACUAGAAAAUCUAACAGUGGUAAACCUAAACAACAGUGGUACCAACACGAAGCUUACGAAAUUACGAACCUAACGCAACUUGAACGGAUCAAUUCGGAGUUCAAACGACGAUUUUAUAGCUAAAACAAUAUGGUGGCAAUUCUGUAAAUAAAGCAGAGUUUAAACGAAUUUAAAUAAAUAAAUUAAAUUCUGGAAAUUCCUCUGGCCGAGGACUGCACGCACGAAAAUGGAAUCCCUGAGGGGCUCUUUAACAAAAUAUCAUAUGAAGGGGUACGGGGCAUUGUAGGCCGUUGGAUCACAGAUGAACGCGCUGGAUUAAAAGAAAAAAAAUAAAAAAAAGAGAGAGAGAGGAAGGGGACGGCGCACAGGCCAGCUCCGGCCAGAACACGGUGGCCACCAUGGCCGGCCGCAAGGAAGCUCGCCGGAGCAAGAGAAUAAGGACCUACGGUGCAUGGUUUUCGAUUCCGUUUGAACUGAGAGAAAGAGGAGAGUGAUGCGAGUCCAUUCCACCCCAUAAACGCGGUCGAGGAGGCGGUUUCCGAGAAGGUUCACGGCGGCGCUAUGAACGUCCCAUCGGAGCUCGCGGAACAGGGACUCCGGGCCACGAUUCACUCGGCAACAGGACGGGGAGGGAGCGGGAAGGGAGAUGAAGCUCACCACGGUGCCAAAUCGCAGCGAAAACAGCUCGGAACGGCGGCCUACGCGCGGCCGACGAAGAACUUCCCGGCGACGGUUCUCUGCGCAGAAACGAGCGGGCCACGGGCAAGGAGAAGAGAGAAUGGGGGAGGGGGAGUGCUCGGGUGCGCGAGGGGCUCUCCAACUUGAAGACCGAGGCGCGGGGAGAGGAGAACGUGGGCGCGGGGGCUUCGGCCUGGUGGUUCCAACCGAGAGAAAGGUUCGGGGGCGACGGUUUGGGGGCAGGGAUAGAGCUGACAAGUGGGCCCUACUCGUCAGUGGAAGAGAGAGAGGGAGUUAGGGUGCUGGCGCGCUGCUGGAAUUGGGCCAAGCAGGCCGAAAAUGAGGGGAAGGGAGAGAGAAAAGUUUUUCCUUUUUAUUUUCCAACAAAUUUUUCAAACUCUUUUCCAAAUGAAUUUUUGAAUUCAAAUUCCUUUCUUCAAAACCACUCAUCACAUAAAACAAAUGCACCAGCAUGUAUGCAACAAAAUAUUAGCCUGACUUAUAUUUAAUUUUAAUUUCUCCAAAUUUUUUUAUUUUCCUAUAUUAAAAAUGCUCACAAAAUUAUUUAAUAAAGUCAAAUUCAUCUAUUUUUAAAAGAGCCAAAUUUUGGGUGUUACAAUUUGUCACACCCAAUUUCAAGGAAGAAAUUGAAUGCAUAAAGUUAUGUGUGCCCAGAGAUCAAUCACACACAUAAGUCACAAAUUAAAUACCAUCAACGUAGUGUUUACAACAAACGUAGUAUUACAUCACAAACUCUGGCAUAACAGCGGAAAUAUAAAUAUGAUAAUCUAAGAUAACUAUCUCAUGGCCCCUCACACAGGGAAGGUCGACUGGUGAAGCACAAGCCUAAUAGUCCUCCGGGUAGUCCUCAUAGCUACCACUAUUUGUUACCCAUCCGGGAUUUUUAUCCAAAGAAAAGAAAUAUACAAGCGUGAGUACAUCUCGUACUCCACAAGCAUAGCAUGAGGAUUUAUGAGGCUCAAACAGGCUAAAUUAGGUUCACUGCAUCAGCUUUUAGUAGAUCAGUGUUUUAUCAUUAAUUAUUAUGGUUUAUGCUUAAGCUUCCAAAUAUCCCAUAUGAUCAGUUAUUAGAACCAUAGUAAGUCAUUAAGUCACAUUAAAGUAUAAUUGUACAUCAUCAUGUACCAUAAAGCCAUCAGUAACCAGUUAUUCUGUGAGUUUUCCGGUCCGCUCGUGACCGUGAGCACGGCUGUUAUAACAGUUAUCCACUCUGCAGAGGUUGUGCACUUUCACCGUGAGUCGUGUUGCCCAUAUGUCCGGGAUCCGUCGACCCCCAAACACUACCAAGGUGAGCGGGCAGGGUACACUAUGAAGUCUUCCAUAGGCCUAUUCUAACCAGUUAGGGCCGUGAGGUUUCCUCGGCAGUCAGAUGUAGAAAACCUCCCUUUUCUAUGGCACAUUUCCAUCGCGGCUAUACUCAUAGAAACAAGGGCAGCCCUACACCCAAAGUGGCAAGCGCCUCUUGCGCCCUUUCGGGUAACCUCUAACGAGUUAGAAAAGAUCCUAUUACUGAGCUAAAGUCAGAGCCAUGUGACUCUCCCGGUUGCACUGUAAGUCCCAGCUUUUGCCGACAGAUAAGUCCUUACGGAGGGUCUAGGACAACAUGACCAACAGUCAUUUGUACCAUAGCUCUAUGUUCCAUUUAUCAUAAUCAUGUUUAAUCAAUUAACCAUGGUUCCAUCACUGAUUUCAGAUCAUAUAUAAUUGGAGUUAGAGCACUAGCACUUCUACCCAUAUGCAAUAAAAACCCUUGGGAACAAGGUAAUUGUCAUCAACAGCUAGGAUGUCCUUAUAGUUUGCAAUAUUGUACACAUGCAGGGUGAAAUGCUUAAAAAUGAGUAGGACAACAAGGUAGGCCCAUGCUAUACUUGCCUUGGUUCACGUACUCCUACUGGUCUUGCUGGUCCCCAAAGAGCUCCGGACUCCCAAAAUACUCCUCACCGUGUGAGCUCGACCAACACAUCACAAUCAUCACGCAUACCAAGACAAACAUGCAAGAGAUCAAUUCCUAAAGUUAGAACAGUACACCAGUAGUAAAUAAAUUAAAUAAAAGUUUUCCAAAAUCAUCUACGUGCUGCUACGAUCACGUCAACGCGAAAUUCACGAAAAACGGACUUAUGACGCGAAAGUUACGCUCUUAACGGGAUUUCAACAGCAAUCUACGGACUUGUAAUUAACUAGGAAAUCUAACAGUGGUAAACCUAAACAACAGUGGUACCAAUGCGAAGCUUACGAAAUUACGAAACUAACGCAACUUGAACGGAUCAAUUCGGAGUUCAAACGACGAUUUUAUAGCUAAAACAAUAUGGUGGCAAUUCUGUAAAUAAAGCAGAGUUUAAACGAAUUUAAAUAAAUAAAUUAAAUCCUAGAAAUUCCUCUGGCCGAGGACUGCACGCGCGAAAAUGGGAUUCCUGGGGGGCUCUUUAACAAAAUAUCAUAUGAAGGGGUACGGGGCAUUGUAGGCCGUUGGAUCACAGAUGAACGCGCUGGAUUAAAAGAAAAAAAAUAGAAAAAAGAGAGAGAGGAAGGGGACGGCGCACAGGCCAGCUCCGGCCAGAACACGGUGGCCACCAUGGCCGGCCGCAAGGAAGCUUGCCGGAGCAAGAGAAUAAGGACCUACGGUGCAUGGUUUUCGAUUCCGUUUGAACUGGGAGAAAGAGGAGAGCGAUGCGAGUCCAUUCCACCCCAUAAACGCGGUCGAGGAGGCGGUUUCCGAGAAGGUUCAUGGCGGCGCCAUGAACGUCCCGUCGGAGCUCGCGGAACAGGGACUUCGGGCCACGAUUCACUCGGCAACAGGACGGGGAGGGAGCGGGAAGGGAGAUGAAGCUCACCACGGUGCCAAAUCGCAGCGAAAACGACUCGGAACGGCGGCCUACGCGCGGCCGACGAAGAACUUCCCGGCGACGGUUCUCUGCGCAGAAACGAGCGGGGCAUGGGCAAGGAGAAGAGAGAAUGGGGGA